UACGUAGGCAGCGAGCGUUGUUCGGAGUUACUGGGCGUAAAGGGUGUGUAGGCGGUUGUUUAAGGUUGGUGUGAAAUCUCCCGGCUCAACUGGGAGGGUGCGCCGAAUACUGAAUGACUAGAGUACGGGAGAGGAAAGUGGAAUUCCAGGUGUAGCGGUGAAAUGCGUAGAUAUCAGGAGGAACACCAGCGGCGAAGGCGGCGCUCUGGGCCGGUACUGACGCUGAGGAGCGAAAGCGUGGGGAGCAAACAGG
rnacentral:rRNA from 1 species